rnacentral:lncRNA from 1 species
GAACAAGCAAGACAUUCUGCACAUGUCUUCAUGUGAAAGAUCAAAUAAAAUCCUUAAAAUCUUCAGUGAAGUAAGUUCUAGUAGUUCCUUUAGGUUGCAAGGAUGGAAUUUAAAUUUCGAUUUAACUCUGAAGUUGAAGAUCUUCCCACUACGAAGUUUUUAAUACUAUUCUUCCAGUGCUUUGGAACCCACUGAGUAUUAUCACACCAGUGACGAGAGGGAAGACAGUCACAUGUGAUCCCAGAUCUGAGCGUGAUCUCAAUCAGCAUCGCCUUUGGUGUACACAGGCAGGGGCAGCUAAUGUGUCACCCGGAGCAUGACAAUGAGAACGCAGUCACUGGAUCUUCCUGAGCAGCCUACAACCCAUCUGGGCCUCUAGACAGCCAUUCGCAUUCACACUCAUGCACAGCUCCUGCUACUCCAACUCCUACGCUGUUGGCAAGAAAUAUCCACACAGCUGGAUUCAAUUCAUAGGAUGCUUCUUAUUUUUUUUUAUUUUUUUGUUUCAUUAAACUCUAGUUUCCUCCUAGCAGUGUGUGUUUUCUUUAUAUACAAGCCCAGAAAUUUAACAGGAAGAAGGCAUCUCAGAGGAGUGCCUCAGGAAUAGGCUCGGGAGUGGGGAACGAAGUCAUGUUGCUUCUGUUUUAUGGAGCACUCACACACUUGUUCCCCCUCCACACCCCACAAUGCAUAUUCCGUGAAAAGGUCUCUCUGAAGUUAGGUGGGGAGAUUUAUAACUCAGUGACUCUCAGUGGAGGCCUGUAGGAUUAUGGAGCAUCAAGCAGUUAGUGAGCCAGCUGGC